GGACGGUACCUUUCGAGGAAGCCACGGCUAACUACGUGCCAGCAGCCGCGGUAAUACGUAGGUGGCGAGCGUUGUCCGGAAUUAUUGGGCGUAAAGGGAGCGCAGGUGGGAAAGUAAGUCAGUCUUAAAAGUGCGGGGCUCAACCCCGUGAUGGGAUUGAAACUACUUUUCUUGAGUGCAGGAGAGGAAAGCGGAAUUCCUAGUGUAGCGGUGAAAUGCGUAGAUAUUAGGAGGAACACCAGUGGCGAAGGCGGCUUUCUGGACUGUAACUGACACUGAGGCUCGAAAGCGUGGGGAGCGAACAGGAUUAGAUACCCUG
rnacentral:rRNA from 1 species